rnacentral:lncRNA from 1 species
GGUUCCCUGCUUUGGCCAUAAGCUGUAUAUACUCAUCUCCCUGUGUCUAGGCUCUAAUCUGUGUAUGGCUUUCCCCCCACUUCUUCCCUGGAUUUAGUUGAACCAAUGUUUUCUGCAGAGAUAGUAGAAUUGGCCUACUUACCAGUUUCCCCACUCUGUUAGUUCAGAACUCCUCACUUCAGGAGUAGGGACGGAGGAAAAGCCUGCUGAUUAGAAGAAUAAAAUUUGGACAGUAGUGGAGACCCUUCUAAACACAAGAGAUGGUCAUGAACACAAAGCCUAGAAUUACUGUGGGAAAGAGAUAGAAGAAGAAAAAAAGUUGACUAGAUCAGAGAAAUAAGAGAAAGGUUCAAACAGAUACGGUAGACAGAGGGCCUUGAAUGUCAGAAGGGAGGCAGGGGCUAGAUUUGAAAGGAAUGGUAAUUUGGAAGAACCAGAGAUUUCUACCAAGGGAAUGAUAUAAAGGCCAAUUUCAGAGAGAUUAAUCUGGCAGCAGUCUGCAGGAUUAAUUGAGAAGAUAAGGGAUCAAAGGCAAAUGGGACCAGCUCAGAAGCCGUGGCCGAGAUGCAGGUGUGAAACGAUAAGAGACUUAGCCCGGGAGUCAACCCAGAGAUGAAGAUAAACGGAGAGAAAUUAUUGAGGGAUGGCUGGAAGGCAGUGGGAGAUCCAAAAGUAGAUUCAAGGAUUCAAAUCCUGGUGGUUGGUACCUGGGAGACUAAAGAGGCCCUAACACAAAAAGAGAGCCUUUGUUUCCUUCGGAGAGAAAUGAAACCCAAGAAGUGACUGCCCUCAAUAUUUUUGUUGUAGCUGGCUCCUUGUCACAAAACUCACAGCAAUGUUGAUCUCUGAAACAAACAAACAAAAAAGAUCAACAUAAUGAACCAUGCAUGACCUGAAAUCUAUUCUUCAUCGGGGUUAGGGCACAACUUGGUGGCAGAGCCCCCACCUCUCACUAUGUGGGAAGCUUAGCUCCAUCUUCAGCAAUGCUGGAAAGGAUGCCAGAGAGACAGAGGCUUAGAUACCCCACCUAUUUUUAUCCAGCUCCCGAAGCAAUGGACAAGAAUAAAUUAUGGCAUUUCCAUGAAUAUGUAAACUCUUUUUGCCAAGAGACAGGGAAAAAGAAUUUUUACUGUUUCAGACAUAUGUCUGAAGCAAUGAUUCUCUCCCUGAGAGGGCCACACUAGCUUUACAAGUGAAUUGGAAAGGGAAAACAGAAGCAGAAACUUCCCAUCUAAGCUGUCACGGCCCUUUUGUGAACCUAUACCUUGUCUUCAUAAGAUAUUGGAAAUGUCUCAUCUGUAUGGGAAAUCUAUUAAAAGAUGGAAUCCCUAUGUUAUGGCCACAACACAAAUGUUGAAUAGGAAGAGCAACAGUGAAAAUGAUUCUAAUAACAUAGAGAAUCCAUUUAGAUCCAUAUUGCUGUAUUAUAUAGAUGACCUACUAUCCUGAUUGCACUGGGAUAAUGAUCUUGUGUUAAAUUCAAUGGCUAUCAUCCACUGGUUCCAGGACACAAGGUUCAAAACAACAAAAUUUUACCAUAAUGCAGAAUCUGUGCAUUUUGUUGAACUAUAUUUGAAAAUGGAUUUCCAGUUGGGUGGUUUUCAUUUUAUUAGGCAAGUAAAGUGAUCAUUGAGAAUGUCUUUAUUUCUCAGUUUACCAGUGACCCAGAGAGAACAUUGUGGUUCCCUAACUAACUAUCCAUGCCUUCCUCAAAAUGGUCUCACAGAUGU